rnacentral:lncRNA from 1 species
CUGCUAACUCCUGAUUUGGCAGAGGCCUGGCUGUCUUUUCUGGAUCACGUCACUGCUGCUGAGUUUUUGGUACCUGACACUACUGAACUGGGCAGCUGGUAUCCCGAGGAAUGGAGAUUGGAAUCACCACAAAGAACUACUUCUAAACAGAAUGUUGAUGAAAUCAUUGAUAUAUUUGAUAUUGGGGAUAAUUGUUGAUAUCUGUGAUUUUCCCUUAAAAUACAUAUGCCAUUACCAGACUGCUUACAAUAUCAGUUCUCUGAAGAAGACAGGAGGACUGAAGCUAGUUCAAGGUUCAUGAUUUCACUCCAGUAGAUUCUGCCAGUUGAAGUCAAGUCUUGAUAGAUUUCCACUACUGUUUCUGCCCUGAAUGAAGUUAAGAGCUUGUUGAAAGUAGAUAUGAGUUUAAAACACGUAUCACAACAAUGGCAUUUCUAUUCCAGUUCUCCAUUGUGUAUGUUCAAGUGGUCCUUGCUGUUUAAACUGAAAGUGUAGAACAUCAGACUCUCAGCCAUGGUCACAAUUACUGCCAAAGUGGCUUUGAGGCUUCUGCAUAAAUAGUAGCCCAGGCCGGACAAAGGAAACUGGUGUCAACGA